GUCAAGUCAUCAUGGCCCUUAUGUCCAGGGCUACACACGUGCUACAAUGGGCGGCACAGAGCGCGGCGAAGCCGCGAGGCGAGAGCGAACCGCACAAAGCCGCCCGUAGUCCGGAUUGAAGUCUGAAACCCGACUUCAUGAAGUUGGAAUCGCUAGUAAUCGCGCAUCAGCACGGCGCGGUGAAUACGUUCCCGGGCCUU
rnacentral:rRNA from 1 species